AAUUUUUUGUGAUUAAUUUUUUUUUUUUUGGUUCUUUUCUAAAUUUAAUGGCUCUAGAAUAGCUCUGUUCUUUAAUUCUGUUUUGCCUCAAUACUUCCUGUCAAGAACUAAAGUAAAUUCAUAAGAUUUCAUCUUAAUGAUUUUCAAGUUCCUUUUUCAAUAUUAAUUUCUCUACCAUUACAUGAUGUUUAUUACUAUUAAUUUGCAAAUCCAGAAUCGAAAGUACUAGUUGUCAAGAAUAAUUGCAAAUUUUACAAGCCACCUAUUUCAUUCCAAAAAUCACCAUUCACAGACAAUAACACUUCAUCUUGUGCUUUGGUAUUGCAUUAAUGAAGUACAAUCCUGCGAGAUUUUAUUUAUUUAUUUUUUUGGUUUACACAUGAAGGCUGAAGCUACAUUUGCCAAAAAUCCACCCACAAAAAUACUUUAGCCAAACAAUUAGGAUAAUUUUUUCUUAAUGUAAAGUCAACUACGGAUUGGAAAUACUUCUAAAUGUAGUAAUAAUUUCUAGGCCACAAUUAGUGAAGCAAAGCACAAAAUUCUUUUUCUUUUAGACAAUUCAUCAAACAAUUGUCGGGCAUAGAUCUAUAAACUCAUCCAUUCACAACAUAAAGUAACAAAAUCUCAAUCAAAGCCUCACAAUAACAUAAUCAAACAAAAUACCAAUUUAAUUUAAAGGCAACAAGAAGACUCCAUUCUAUUUUCUUAACUGAAGAUAUAUUAGAAACUAAGUAAAUCACAAAAACAACAAAUGAUCCUUUUUCUUUAAAAGAAUAAUAAUCAAACCAAGCACAAAAAAAGCACGCAUGAUCUAACAUACUAACACAAAGAUAAGACCCUCACAGUUUCAAAAAUGACGAAGGCACGACGGCAUGAUGAAGGCAGUGGAGCAUGGUGGUGGAGUGUCGCGAAGGCAUGCCGCACAGUGGUCUCGCACGUCGCGGAGGUAGAUCGCGAAGACAAUGGAGAUGGUGGUGUCACGGUGGUAUCGUGAGACAAUGGCGGUAUAAAGGCAGAUCACAUGGGGCUGGUGGUGUUUGAGGCAGUGGUGGUGUGGAGUUGAGAUUUGUGGAGUGGAUGUGUGGAGGUGCAGGCGAGCCACUACACAGAGAAGGAGAACGAAAAUGAAAGCGAAAUUUUUUUGGUCUCAAAACAAAUACCAACCCGCGUAAACCCGACUCUCACACGGGUUUAUUUUAUGCGGGUUUGACCGCAUUACAAGCUUCUUUUGACCACAUUAAAAUACAGUGAGGAGUAGUCAAACAUGAU
rnacentral:lncRNA from 1 species